rnacentral:rRNA from 1 species
GUGAACCUGCGGAGGAUCAUUAUCGUAGGGCUUCGGCCCUAUCGAGAUAGAACCCUUGCCUUUUUGAGUACCUUUUCGUUUCCUCGGUAGGCUCGCCUGCCGGUGGACAAACAAACCAAACCCUGUAUUAUCAUGUAAUAGUCUGAGUAAACAAAAAUUAAAUCAAAACUUUCAACAACGGAUCUCUUGGUUCUGGCAUCGAUGAAGAACGCAGCGAAAUGCGAUAAGUAGUGUGAAUUGCAGAAUUCAGUGAAUCAUCGAAUCUUUGAACGCACAUUGCGCCCUUUGGUAUUCCUUAGGGCAUGCCUGUUCGAGCGUCAUUCAAACCUUCAAGCUCUGCUUGGUGUUGGGUGUCUGUCCCGCCUUACGGCGCGGACUCGCCUCAAAUUCAUUGGCGGCCGGUACGUUGGCUUCGAGCGCAGCAGAAACGCGUUCUCGAGACUGGCGGACUGGCUCCCAGAAGCUAACCCCAUAAUUUUGACCUCGGAUCAGGUAGGGAUACCCGCUGAACUUAAGCAUAUCAAUAAGCGGAGGAAAAGAAACCAACAGGGAUAGCCCUAGUAACG